GACGAACGCUGGCGGCGUGCUUAACACAUGCAAGUCGAACGGAAAGGCCCUGCUUUUGUGGGGUGCUCGAGUGGCGAACGGGUGAGUAACACGUGAGUAACCUGCCCUUGACUUUGGGAUAACUUCAGGAAACUGGGGCUAAUACCGGAUAGGAGCUCCUGCUGCAUGGUGGGGGUUGGAAAGUUUCGGCGGUUGGGGAUGGACUCGCGGCUUAUCAGCUUGCUGGUGGGGUAGUGGCUUACCAGGGCUUUGACGGGUAGCCGGCCUGAGAGGGUGACCGGCCACAUUGGGACUGAGAUACGGCCCAGACUCCUACGGGAGGCAGCAGUGGGGAAUAUUGCACAAUGGGCGGAAGCCUGAUGCAGCAACGCCGCGUGCGGGAUGACGGCCUUCGGGUUGUAAACCGCUUUCGCCUGUGACGAAGCGUGAGUGACGGUAAUGGGUAAAGAAGCACCGGCUAACUACGUGCCAGCAGCCGCGGUGAUACGUAGGGUGCGAGCGUUGUCCGGAUUUAUUGGGCGUAAAGGGCUCGUAGGUGGUUGAUCGCGUCGGAAGUGUAAUCUUGGGGCUUAACCCUGAGCGUGCUUUCGAUACGGGUUGACUUGAGGAAGGUAGGGGAGAAUGGAAUUCCUGGUGGAGCGGUGGAAUGCGCAGAUAUCAGGAGGAACACCAGUGGCGAAGGCGGUUCUCUGGGCCUUUCCUGACGCUGAGGAGCGAAAGCGUGGGGAGCGAACAGGCUUAGAUACCCUGGUAGUCCACGCUGUAAACGGUGGGUACUAGGUGUGGGGUCCAUUCCACGGGUUCCGUGCCGUAGCUAACGCUUUAAGUACCCCGCCUGGGGAGUACGGCCGCAAGGCUAAAACUCAAAGGAAUUGACGGGGCCCCGCACAAGCGGCGGAGCAUGCGGAUUAAUUCGAUGCAACGCGUAGAACCUUACCUGGGUUUGACAUGGAUCGGGAGUGCUCAGAGAUGGGUGUGCCUCUUUUGGGGUCGGUUCACAGGUGGUGCAUGGCUGUCGUCAGCUCGUGUCGUGAGAUGUUGGGUUAAGUCCCGCAACGAGCGCAACCCUUGUUCACUGUUGCCAGCACGUUAUGGUGGGGACUCAGUGGAGACCGCCGGGGUCAACUCGGAGGAAGGUGGGGAUGACGUCAAGUCAUCAUGCCCCUUAUGUCCAGGGCUUCACGCAUGCUACAAUGGCUGGUACAGAGAGUGGCGAGCCUGUGAGGGUGAGCGAAUCUCGGAAAGCCGGUCUCAGUUCGGAUUGGGGUCUGCAACUCGACCUCAUGAAGUCGGAGUCGCUAGUAAUCGCAGAUCAGCAACGCUGCGGUGAAUACGUUCCCGGG
rnacentral:rRNA from 1 species